AACGCACAUUGCGCCCCUUGGUAUUCCGAGGGGCAUGCCUGUUCGAGCGUCAUUUCAACCCUCAAGCUCUGCUUGGUCUUGGGCUGGGCCGCGAUGGCCGGUCUUAAAAUCAGUGGCGGUGCCGUCGCCGGCUCCAAGCGUAGUACAUCUCUCGCUCUGGAAGCCCGGCGGUGCCUGCCAGACAACCCCUAAUUGUCUCUCACGGUUGACCUCGGAUCAGGUAGGGAUACCCGCUGAACUUAA
rnacentral:misc_RNA from 1 species